CGAAAGCCUGAUCCAGCAAUGCCGCGUGAGUGAUGAAGGCCUUAGGGUUGUAAAGCUCUUUUACCCGGGAUGAUAAUGACAGUACCGGGAGAAUAAGCCCCGGCUAACUCCGUG
rnacentral:rRNA from 1 species